GACGGACGCUGGCGGCGUGCGUAACACAUGCAAGUCGAACGGAGAAUWUCAAUAAGUUUACUUAGUGAAAUUCUUAGUGGCGGACGGGUGAGUAACGCGUGGGUAACSUACCCAUAAAGCCGGGACAACCCAUGGAAACGAGGGCUAAUACCGGAUAAUCUUGGGGCUUGGCAUCAAGCUGUAAGGAAAGAGGGCCUCUGAAAAUGCUCUUGAUUAUGGAUGGACCCGCGUCUGAUUAGCUGGUUGGUGGGGUAAAGGCCUACCAAGGCGACGAUCAGUAGCCGGCCUGAGAGGGUGAACGGCCACACUGGGACUGAGACACGGCCCAGACUCCUACGGGUGGCAGCAGUGGGGAAUCUUCCGCAAUGGACGAAAGUCUGACGGAGCAACGCCGCGUGUAUGAUGAAGGUCUUCGGAUUGUAAAGUACUGUCUUUAGGGAAGAACGGCAGCUAUGAAAAUAUUGUAGAUGCAUGACGGUACCUAAGGAGGAAGCCCCGGCUAACUACGUGCCAGCAGCCGCGGUAAUACGUAGGGGGCGAGCGUUGUCCGGAAUUAUUGGGCGUAAAGGGCGCGUAGGCGGGUAUUAAGUCCGAUGUGAAAGAUCAGGGCUCAACCCUGAGAGUGCAUCGGAAACCUGGGUAUCUUGAGGACAGGAGAGGAAAGUGGAAU
rnacentral:rRNA from 1 species